ensembl:lncRNA
UCCUUAAAGAGGAGAGGGUCAAAGGAUGGUUGGGUUGGAUGGGUCCCGGAAGGUUAACAAGGCUUUGGAUGGUGAUAUUGGUUGGGAAGGUCCUGGAAGGUCACAAAAUGGGAGGGGCGGUUGGGUCCUGGAAGGGGAAAGAGAUAUAGGAUGGCUGUGUUGGGUUGGAAGGGGUCUUAUAGGUCCUAUAUGUAUGGGGUGGUUGGGUUGGAUGGGUCCCGAAAGGUUAAAAAGGCUUUGGAUGGUGAUAUUGGUUGGGAAGGUCCUGGAAGGUCACAAAGGGGAGGGGCAGUUGGGUCCUGGAAGGGGGAAGAGGUAUAGGAUGGCUGUGUUGGGUUGGAAGGGGUCUUAUAGGUCCUAUAUGUAUGGGGUGGUUGUGGUUGGAUGGGUCCUGAAAGGUUAUAAAGGCUUUGGAUGGUGAUAUUGGUUGG